CCGUGCUAGGUGGGGAGCCAGCGGUGCCCUGAACCCGCAAUCCGCUAUAGCGGGACCGAAAGCCCGGAGAGGCAUCGUCUGUUGCUGUCGGGUCGGGGCAAGCGGUGUCGAUGAACAGGACCUGCGCGGUGGCAGGCCGUCGAACCCCGUCAGGACCGGAAGGUAGCAGCGGUAGGCGAGCCGUGCCGGGCGACGCAGAGAGACCUGUUCUGAGCUGGCUGCUUCGUCCCGCGGUAUCAGACAUGUCGAACCGGGUCGUACGG
rnacentral:SRP_RNA from 1 species